rnacentral:rRNA from 1 species
UACGUAGGAGGCAAGCGUUGUCCGGAAUCAUUGGGCGUAAAGCGCGCGUAGGCGGCCCGGUAAGUCCGCUGUGAAAGUCGGGGGCUCAACCCUCGGAUGCCGGUGGAUACUGUCGGGCUCGAGUACGGAAGAGGCGAGUGGAAUUCCUGGUGUAGCGGUGAAAUGCGCAGAUAUCAGGAGGAACACCAAUUGCGAAGGCAGCUCGCUGGGACGUUACUGACGCUGAGACGCGAAAGCGUGGGGAGCAAACAGG